GGGUACUCCGGUUUCCUCCCACAGUCCAAAGACAUGCAGAUGAAUGCAGAGGAAGACCUUGCCUGGUGGAAGAGAAAGAAAUAGUUGCAUGAUAUGGGGCCACUUUUAAAGAGAGUAGACAUAGUCCAUUGUGGUGUACUGAACCUGCCUUUUAUUGCUAAUAUUUAACAAUUGUAAACAACUGCAUGUUUUGAUCAACAUUUAAAGAUUUUUUAAAAGAACAAUACAUGUAGGCCUUAACUUGGAUUUGUGAUUAAAUUUAGAGGCCUAUUUCUUUUUUUUUCUUGUUUUUACAGUCAGCUUUCUGAGUUCUGCAAUCAUGAACAUGGAUCUGCUAAACCGAGUUUGUGAAGAAAAACUAUUUCCUGCAUUUAUUUGUAUUUCAAAGUAAACAAAAAUGUUGACUGAA